rnacentral:misc_RNA from 1 species
GUGAGUGAGUGAGUGAGUGAGUGGGAGAGAGCGAGAGAGCGCGGGACGUGCUGCCCUCUCCCAGCUGGCCCAGUGUUCAACCCGGCCCUGGUGAAUAUGCUCGGCCCCGCCGCCAUUCUCCCGGAUAUAUCUACCUAAUCCUCCGCCACCAUUGCCUCCAGACCCCCUCAACCACUAUGAGAUAAAAGUGCCACCACUCGACAUAGUUGGCGCGCGGAGACCCACGGUGCUGGCCAGCCAGGAUGGAGUUGAGGGUCGGCAACAAGUACCGUCUCGGCCGCAAGAUUGGCAGCGGCUCCUUCGGCGAUAUAUACUUGGGAACAAACAUAUCGACCGGUGAGGAAGUAGCCAUCAAAUUAGAAUGCAUCAAAACAAAACAUCCACAGUUACACAUAGAGUCCAAAUUUUAUAAGAUGAUGGCUGGUGGUGUAGGUAUUCCAGGAAUUAAGUGGUGUGGGUCGGAAGGCGACUACAAUGUUAUGGUUAUGGAGUUAUUGGGGCCCUCUUUAGAAGACCUCUUCAAUUUUUGUUCUAGAAAAUUUUCUCUUAAGACAGUUCUUCUUUUGGCAGAUCAACUUAUAACCAGGAUAGAAUAUAUCCAUAGCAAGAAUUUCAUCCACCGAGACAUUAAGCCAGACAACUUCCUCAUGGGCUUGGGAAAAAAGGGAAAUCUUGUGUAUAUCAUAGACUUCGGUCUAGCCAAAAAGUACAGAGACUCGCGCACACAUCAACAUAUACCAUAUCGGGAAAACAAAAAUCUAACCGGUACUGCGCGUUAUGCUUCGGUUAAUACUCAUCUUGGCAUCGAGCAAAGCAGAAGGGAUGACUUGGAGAGUUUAGGGUAUGUGUUGAUGUACUUCAACAGAGGAUCUCUUCCUUGGCAAGGGCUCAAAGCUGCUACUAAAAGGCAAAAAUAUGAGAGAAUCAGUGAAAAGAAGAUGCAGACUCCUAUUGAGGAGCUCUGUAAAGGAUUUCCUAAUGAGUUCGCAACGUACCUGAAUUUCUGCCGGUCUCUGAGGUUUGAGGAGAAACCAGACUACAGUUACCUGAGGCAGCUCUUCCGCCAGCUCUUCCAUCGUCAGGGCUUUACCUAUGACUAUGUGUUUGACUGGAAUAUGCUCAAAUUUGGUGGUUCACGAAAUCAAGAAAAUGAGGUAGAACGAAGAGAUCGUCAGACCCACAAACCCCAAGCCACCGGUGCCACGUCUCGGAUACGGCACGACACAACCGUCGGGGGUGUUUUGCCCUCCCCAACAGCGGGAGCUGGGCGGCUACGGUCAGGUAGUGAGAGUGAACAACGCGUGAGCAUGAGGGUGCACCGCUCUGGUACUUCCAACACACACACACCGCAGCUCUCAAGACCUACAGAUACAUGUGUACAAACUUGGGCUAACAGUGUGAGUCCUCCAGUAUCUGGGGGAGUGAUACGUCGAGGAUCUGCGGGCAGAGAUGGCACCUUUCGAUAUCCAGCUAAGAAGUGAAAAUUAGGCAUCCAAUUUAGCUAGUUUCUGUGUAAUGACAGUUGACAGUGCUCUACAUAAUAGUCAUUUGCUGCCUUGUGUUUGGCACUAACACAUCCAGAAAUUGGACUGAAGAAGCAUGAGUUAUGUGUGCAUUAAGGCAGAACAGACACAUUGAAGACUUGCUAAGGAUGUGUUGCUGUCAGCAAUGAAAACAUUUUACUGGCCAGCAAAGCUCAAGAUACUUUAAUAGUGCAUUGAUAAAAGAAUAUGAACUUUUCUAGAAUGAAAGCCAUGGCCUUAAUUAUAGUAUUUAUGAAAAUGUGCAAUGAGAAACUUUAUAAGAAAAUUUCAUGGAAAGUAAAUGCAUUAAAUGCAUCAAUUAGUUUAUCAGUGAUAAUUUUAUAAUAGUUUAUGAGGUAACUACAGUACUUGGUGGACGCUGUUUGCAGGAUCAACAGUUGUGGUGUCCAAGAAUUGUUUUCUAUAGUUUGUGAAAUCUGUAUAUUCACCAGUUAAUAUGGUGUUCUCGAUGACUGCUGAGAUAUUCUUCAGUGGUGUACUUCAUCAAUACCUUUGAUCUCAUUGCCUGCAGGUUUUCACAGAGGCAUGUCCUAUGGCAAAAACUGUAAAUGAUGAUUUAAGUUAAUAUAGUCAAUCUCCAUUACUAUAACUUGCAGUUACCUAACAUUCUGUCUAUUAAAAGCAGAACUUUUUUAAUAUAUUUACCAAGCAGUUGAAAAUUCUAACUCAAAUUUAAUAAAAAAAAAAAAGAGUGGCAGAAAAUAUAAUAGUUAUUGCUAUAUCCAGUUAUAUGUGCUAACGGUAGCCAGUAUGGACAAUGUUAUAUUUCCACGUCCUUCUUGUGAUUAGGAUCGAAAGUCAAAAUCUUCGUAUUUGUUUCGUAGUUUGUCAUUACUAUUUUAAUAUAUACAAUUGCUGAUUUUGGUUAUACAGGUGCUUCAACAAUGUAGUAAUUAAAAAGCAAAGCUUAUAUUGGUACCCUCUAUGUUCAAAAUAAUUACCCUGGUGUUUUAUGUGAAUUUUGGCAUCUGCUUGCAUACAAAUUUACAAAGUGCAUGCAACAUAUUUUUGAUUAUCAGUACUGUAUUGACAUGGUACUGAAAACAUAUUCUGAGUAAUGGCAACCUGACUGCAAAUUAUUUCAGAUAUUGUGAGUGAAGUUUACUGGCUACAGAUUUUGGCACGUUUUCCCUGAUUUGGCCACUCUUGUGAGGUUUUGGCCACUCUUGUGAGGUUUUGGCCACUCUUGUGAGGUUUUGGCCACUCUUGUGAGGUUUUGGCCACUCUUGUGAGGAUUUGGCCACUCUUGUGAGGAUUUGGCCACUCUUGUGAGGUUUUGGCCAGUGAUCUUGCAUACAUCCUAUAAGGCAUAAGGAGUUUGUUACCAAUUAGUUUCAAGAGGAAAUAGUUAUAUUCAUAUGUAUGCAUUUAAAUGAUCCUGGCCUUUCCAUUGGCCCAUGACUCCUGGAAGAGAAAGCAAGUGUCUUAGUUAGAUCUUCCGGGUGCUAAGAUUUUUUUAGAACCCAGUUCCUUUGAAAUGGGAAUAAUUAUUAAUAAAGAAUAAACAUCUUGCAUUCCUUCACAAAUGUUAUUAGAGCAUAUUGGCAGCAUGUUGUUUAAACCAGGACAAGUGUGUUGUGAAUGUCACAUGUGCAUUUCUAUGUUUUAAAAUAUUUGUUACAUUUAGAACCACAUCACUCUUUCAGUUCUAUAUUGUUUUGUAUUAUUUCCAUUGUCUCCUUGAAUCAUACUAUAAUGUAAACUGGUACAGUUUUAUGAGGUUUUGAUAGAAUGGAUAGCAAUUAGUGAAAUUCAGUACAGUGCUAGUAAGCAAAGCAUUUUAUUUAUAAGUCAAUUGCUGUCUAGAACUCGACUGUAAUGUGCAACGUCAUCAAGCGUCGUGUUUUGGAAUUUGGCUAUAUUACAUCUGACCAUGGGUGAUUAUUUUGUAUUUAUAUAUGUAUAUUUGUUAUUAGGUAAUUCAUGAUUUUAGGUUCAUUCAGUGUGAUGGACUAGGCGUCUAGUUGAAUCUGGAAACAAUGAGAUGAACAGUUGUAAACACAGAUGAUUUUUUAUUAUUCCCAAUAAAUAGUAAAUGCCAUGUACAAAUGUACUCAUACAGCCAUAUUCCAAAAUGUGGCUAUCAUUGUAUUUACCAUCAUUCAUAUACAGAUGAAUGCAUAGCAGUAUUGUGUUAAUGUCUGAAGGAUGUUUUCAAAAGAGGAAGUGUGUGUGUGUUUCUUAUGCUUUAAUGUGUGAGGGGGGGGCC